rnacentral:sRNA from 1 species
GUUGGUUUACAACCGUGUUGUAAGAGCCUGUGGUAUGUUUGAACCUGCUUCGCACCUUGGUUAAUAUGCAUGUUAUCUGGUUUGCCU